rnacentral:rRNA from 1 species
AAUCAACGCUGGCGGCGUGCCUAACACAUGCAAGUCGCACGAGAAAGGGUCUUCGGAUCUGAGUAAAGUGGCGCACGGGUGAGUAACACGUGAAUUAUCUACCUUCGAGUGGGGAAUAACUUCGGGAAACCGAGGCUAAUACCGCAUAAUAUCUACGGAUCAAAGCAGUAAUGCGCUUGAAGAGGAGUUCGCGGCAGAUUAGUUAGUUGGCGGGGUAAUGGCCCGCCAAGACGAUGAUCUGUAUCCGGCCUGAGAGGGCGCACGGACACACUGGAACUGAAACACGGUCCAGACUCCUACGGGAGGCAGCAGUGGGGAAUUUUGCGCAAUGGGGGAAACCCUGACGCAGCAACGCCGCGUGGAGGAUGAAGUCUCUUGGGACGUAAACUCCUUUCGAUAGGGAAGAUUAUGACGGUACCUAUAGAAGAAGCCCCGGCUAACUUCGUGCCAGCAGCCGCCGCCG